rnacentral:rRNA from 1 species
ACAAAUAGGGAAACCCUGAUCCAGCCAUCCCGCGUGUAUGAUGAAGGCCUUCGGAUUGUAAAGUAAAUCUUAGAGGCAGAGAAGAAAAGGUAUCUCCUAAUACGAGAUGGUGCUGACGAGUAUCUGCAGAAUAAGCACCGGCUAACUACGUGCCAGCAGCCGCGGUAAUACGUAGGGUGUUGCGUUAAAUGGAAUUACUGGGCGUAAAGCGUGUGUAUUGCGGUUCGGAAAGAAAGAUGUGAAAUCCCAGGGCUCAACCUUGGAACUGCAUUAUUUAACUGCCGAGCUAGAGUAUGUCAGAGGGGUAGAUAAUUCCACGUGUAGCAGUGAGGAAUGCGUAGAUAUGUGGAGGUACCGAUGAAGAAGGCAGCCCCCUGGGAUAAUACUGACAAUCAGACACGAUUGCGUGAAGCCCAAACAGAUUAGAUACCCUGGUAGUCCACGCCCUAAACGAUGUCAACUAGCUGUUGGGGCCGUUAGGCCUUAGUAGCGCAGCUAACGCGUGAAGUUGACCGCCUGGGGAGUACGGUCGCAAGAUUAAAACUAACCGGA